GCCUAGUUAGCUUAGUUGGUAGUGCGUCUGCCUUGUAAGCGCCUACAAACAGUACGACGCGGGUUCGAUUCCCGCCCGGGGCG
rnacentral:tRNA from 1 species